UGGGGAAUUUUGGACAAUGGGGGAAACCCUGAUCCAGCCAUCCCGCGUGUGCGAUGAAGGCCUUCGGGUUGUAAAGCACUUUUGGCAGGAAAGAAACGUCAUGGGUUAAUACCCCGUGAAACUGACGGUACCUGCAGAAUAAGCACCGGCUAACUACGUGCCAGCAGCCGCGGUAAUACGUAGGGUGCAAGCGUUAAUCGGAAUUACUGGGCGUAAAGCGUGCGCAGGCGGUUCGGAAAGAAAGAUGUGAAAUCCCAGAGCUCAACUUUGGAACUGCAUUUUUAACUACCGGGCUAGAGUGUGUCAGAGGGAGGUGGAAUUCCGCGUGUAGCAUUGAAAUGCGUAGUUAUGCGGAGGAACACCGAUGGCGAAGGCAGCCUCCUGGGAUAACACUGACGCUCAUGCACGAAAGCGUGGGGAGCAAACAGG
rnacentral:rRNA from 1 species